AUGAAUGAUAAUGCCAAUCCUGAUGACCUCUUUGACGAUGAAUAUUACCUGUUUUCUGGUGAAGGCUCAGAUGCUGAUGACAUGGAGCACGACGAAUUGGAAGACUCAAGUCACAAUAACUAUGUCGACCAUGAUCCACUGGACUAUGUGUACUCAAACCUCCCAGACAACACACACAUCCUAAAGCAUGCCGCAAACUGUGCCCACUGCAAGGCCAAGAAAUUUGAGUCCGAGGCCCCAGGAUUCUGCUGUCGCAGUGGG
rnacentral:rRNA from 1 species